UACGUAGGGGGCAAGCGUUGUCCGGAUUUACUGGGCGUAAAGCGCGUGUAGGCGGAAGCGCAAGUCCGGUGUGAAAGCCCCCGGCUCAACCGGGGAAGGUCGCUGGAAACUGCGCUUCUUGAGGGCGAUAGAGGAGAGUGGAAUUCCGGGUGUAGCGGUGAAAUGCGUAGAUAUCCGGAGGAACACCAGUGGCGCAGGCGGCUCUCUGGGUCGGCCCUGACGCUGAGGCACGAAAGCGUGGGGAGCGAACGGG
rnacentral:rRNA from 1 species